UAUCCUAGGACUGCAUAGGAGUUGUUUAAUCUCAAACACUCCAGCCUUAGAGUAACUGUUGAGAGGGCAUUUGGAGCUCUGAAGAAUAGGUUUAAGAUCCCGGAUCAGAAGCCAUUCCACCCAUACUCCACUCAGGUUAAACUUGUUCUUGCUUAUUGCAUUCUGCAUAACUAGAUCCUUUAGUGGGGCUUUGAUGAACAUGUGCCUGAGGAGGAAGAGGUCGAGCCUGACGAUAUUGUUAGCUUCGGCCAUGGUGUGGAGGCAUUUGACAAUGACGCUUGGGAGAACAAAAGGUUGGAGUGGGCAGAGGCAAUGUGGCUUAACAGAGGUUAG
rnacentral:rRNA from 1 species